rnacentral:rRNA from 1 species
UACGUAGGGGGCAAGCGUUGUCCGGAUUUAUUGGGCGUAAAGAGCGUGUAGGCGGCCAGAUAGGUCCGUUGUGAAAACUGGAGGCUUAACCUCCAGCUGUCGAUGGAAACCAUCUGGCUAGAGUCCGGAAGAGGAGAGUGGAAUUCCUGGUGUAGCGGUGAAAUGCGCAGAUAUCAGGAGGAACACCGGUGGCGAAGGCGGGACUCUGGGCCGAUACUGACGCUGAGGAGCGAAAGCGUGGGGAGCGAACAGG